UGCGUCUUUGGCCUUUUUUUUUUUUUUUUUUUUUUUUAAAGAAGCAAAUGGGUUUGUCUGAUUCAGCCUGUUCAUGCGCAGCGGCGCCACACCACGAAAUGCAAAAUGGCCACAUGGUCGUAGUAACCUUCAGCUCCGGUCCCUGGAUUCAUCCUCUGCUGGGUUGUUUUUUGUUUUUUUUCCCCCCCAGCCUGUCCAACGUGGACACCGUGGAGACAUGUGCGUGUCUCUCUGUGUCCAUGUGAACUAAAGUGCUUCAUCAAACGAGGCGAUGUUGAGCCGUGUAAGGAACAUUUCUUUUGCGUAAUUGCGUUGAGCCCGUGACGGCAGAGCUGCUGCCACAUGGUCUCCAGCUAAUACAGAAGUGAAAAGGCUCAGCUCGGUUUGGUGUAUUGAGUAACAACACUCAGUCCUGAUAUGUAUAUUUUUCUGUUAAAAAAAAAAAACGUAUUCCUCUUAUUUUUAAUUUGAAUUAAUCUGAAUUUUAACGUUAUUCUUAACGUACAUCCUGACAAGAUGUCAAAAAAAGGGAAAUUACGCGUUCACCGUUUUACCAAUAUUCUUAAGAAAAAUUUUAAUUAUGAAAACAAAAACAAAUACUCACUUUCUCCAUUCGUGGACCAGAUGCAGAGAGUGAAGACAGACAGCAUCAGACCCCAAAACAAGGUCGGGCUACCCAUCAGUGUGUCAGAUCUCAUGUUCCUUAACAUCAAAAGAAAAAAAGAUAAUAAUCCAAAAAAAGGAGAAAAAGAAAAACAGGCUGGGACGAAAUAGAAAAUAAAAUAAAAGCGUCCUUUAAAAAAACAACCACCUCUGUGAUAUUAGAAAGAGUGUCUUCAGCCCAGGUUGCCUGCAAAAUGUGCCUGUCUGCUUAAAAAAAAACAACAACAUAUAAAUAAAUCUGGAGACAGGAGCACAAAAAAAUUAAAAAAUUAAAAAAAUACUAAAACAGUCUGCUAUUUUUGCCAAUCGCAGGACACUCUGACGUCGGCUGGUAUGGCACACGAGCCAGUGAUUUUACUGGAUAAAUGAUGGUAAUCCCCAUCUUCAGUCUCCAUCUCUUCAAAAAAAAAAAAAAAACUACUAAAAAAAAAAAACAGCAGUCGCGCGUACAAGUGCGAUCGGUGCCCUGGAAGGCUAAAAAAAACAACAACAACAAAAAACAAACAAGAAACAAAUGUCAGAGCACAAAUGUUAUCCUCAGCCUUAUAGCGACAUCAUAAAUUAACGCCAGCGUCGCUCUGGAGAAUUCCCCCGUGUUGAAUGACUGCGUGCGAUGAGGAGGAGGAGGAGGAGGAGGAGGAGUGGGGGCAGAAAACACGUCCAGAUCCACAGGGGUGGUGGCUGAGCAAGGCUUGGAAAAUGAAUGAAAAACCUCCUUUUUCUCCCCGUUUUCUUUUUCACCCCCUACGCCGUUCAGUCACCACCGGCUUCUCCUCUGUCGCUCCUACAGCAAAGCAGCUCGCUCCCGGCCUGCGAGGCUCUGAGCUCCUCGGUGGACGCAGGCUGUGUCGGGUCUCCGCUCCUCCGUGAAUCUCUGCUGUAAACAAGAGUCGGCUCCUCUCACUCAGAAACACACAGCGCUACGGAUAAGGUGGCCGGGAGCGGGCUGGAAAUCCCGGAGUGGAUUUAGAACCUGGCGCUUGGGAGCACGGGCUUACCCCCAAACUUGGGUGUCCAUUAAUGCCUGGCAUUUGUGGCGGCCAUGCGAGGUCCCGACCAGCGCAUCAGGAGCAGCACUUUUGGGGGUUCGGUAUCUGGCCCGAGGACGCUUCGACAUGCAGAAAAGGGGAACUGAACUGGCGACCUUCAAGAACAAGACGCUGGCUCCACCUCCUGAGCCACAGCCGCCCAAUUCUGACUCUGAUUCUUAUUCGUAGUCCACAAAACAUUUCUGGAGCCUCACAACAAAGCGUUGUGGUAGCAUUCUCUGAAACAACAGAAGUAAAUGGGGACUUGUAAAAAAAAAAAUAAAAAAAAAACACAUCCAGUGGAAUCCAAUUCUCCGGAAGUCUCGAGGUCCCAAAUUGAUUUGAAAAGGAAGUUAUUAACAUACUUGAGUAGCAGUCGAGCUUAUAGCAUCAUUUUUAGCAUUACGCCUGACAGGGUUAAAGGUGCGCUGUGUAGUUGUGGAGGAGAAAUUCAAACUCACUAUUUUCAUGAGGUAAUAAUACAAACAGAAGCAUUUAUUUUUUUCCACAUCUGAAUAAACAAGCUGUUCUCAGAUUAAAAUUAAGUCCACAGAAGACUGUUGGAAGCUAAAUCAGCCAAUGACAAUCUCUCUCCUCUGAUUCAAAUUUCCUCCCCAAAACUACAUACUGCACCUUUAAAACAAGUCCCCCAUCUGCUGCAGCUGUUUUCGGAGAGAAUGCUUUUGAAUGCCGCCGUUCUGCUGUGAAGCUCCAGGAAAACGUUCCGUGUGCCGCGAAACUUCACCCGACUCUCCAUCAGCAUGACGGGGGACGUUGUUAAUGAUGGGAUUUUCAUUUUGGGGUGGGUUUAUCCUUUAAUCUGUUCUGUAUCUGAUUAAAAUAACUUCAUUCAAGCUUUGGCUCGGAUGCAGCAGUAAUCAGAUGAAUAAAUAGCUCUUGAACUGAAGCGCUCAAACUUCGUCCAACAGGUCUCAAACAUCCUUUAAGGCAUCACACCCAAAAAAAACAGCGACCUGAGGCAAUCACUGGGGAGUUAGGUGCACUUUUUAAACUGACUCAUCCGGCUAAUUAUUAUUAUUAUUUUUUUUUUUUACUUUGCAGACAUAUCCAAAUGAAGUUCUUACAUCAUUAAUAUUUUAGUUUAUGGUGCAUUUGAUUGAAUUAUCGACGACUAUGUGACAAAUCUGUGGCAUUUGAAUGCUGUUUGGUUUCUGUAGCUCUUUAAAAAAUUAAGUGUCGAGGAAACAUAACGUGUCUCUGGUUUUU